CGAAUCGCGUCGCAAACACCGGAAAGUCCGUUCCCGCGGUGAUCCCGACGUCCACUUCGUUCUCAGGGAGGCAAACCUUGCGAUACUUGCCAAUCACGCCCUCAGGCGCGAUGAGCACGGCAACGUUGUAGACCAGGUUUCCGUCGCGCUCGAGCAGUCCCGCCACGAUAUGCGUGUUGUGCUUCUUGGCAAGGGCGCCAAAAAAAUCGGUGGACGGC
rnacentral:misc_RNA from 1 species